rnacentral:rRNA from 1 species
CCUACGGGAGGCAGCAGUAGGGAAUCUUCCGCAAUGGGCGAAAGCCUGACGGAGCGACGCCGCGUGAGCGAGGAAGGUCUUCGGACUGUAAAGCUCUGUUGUGAGGGAAGAACGCCCUGGAGAGGGAAUGCUCUGGGGGUGACGGUACCUCACGAGGAAGCCCCGGCUAACUACGUGCCAGCAGCCGCGGUAAU